GGCGCCGCCUCCUCCUCCUCUUCCUCGGACUCGUUGCUGCUGAUCGACCCGCCGUCGACUACCCGCACCGAGGAGACCUCUUGCUCCGGAGCCUCAAUCUCCUCCUCCAGCAGCAAUCAAACUCCGGAGAGGUCGGGAUGAAUUACGGAAGGUAUAAAGUUGCGAGCGGAGGAGAGGCCUUGUCCUGGAAGGUGUCAAGCGGCGGUUUUUUUUUCCCGCCGCCUCCCCUCCCCUCUCCUCUCCUCUCCCAGAUGUUGUUCAGUUCGGGCCUCCCGCCGCCUCCUCGCGCACGGUCCAGGGUCAAGCCGCUCGCGCUCCGCCAGCGCCAGCGGCUCAGAGUCCGCGAGACACGCAGCGGACGCCAACGGGCAAAGCUCCCAGACUGCACCGCGCGAGCCCCCCCUCCCGGCCGGGCUCCGCUUCCAGGUCAAGCUGCCAGUCGCUGGUAUUCAGUUUGAUGUCGAUGCGAAGACAGAUUGAAGAAACAUCAAGACCCUGCAGAGGCGACCAUUCACAGCCACAGACUCCAGAACAUUCUAUGCUUUACUCUUUUGCCUUCAAGAAUAAUUCAUUGGCCAGUUUUUUUUCAUAAAGCAAUGGUUUCUGAUUUAUGUUUUUUUCUCUUUUUCUGAAGUAAGUGUGUACUUGCAUUUGUACUUGUAUAUUACCUACUAUGGUGUCAAUUUUUUUGA